rnacentral:misc_RNA from 1 species
CAGCCCGAAAGCCAGCUCAGCGGUCCGAAUUAUAGUGUCACUGUGCAGCCCUGUGGACCACACGCGACAGUAGCGCUCCGUAGGUCUGCGAGUCGCCGUGCAAUGCGAAGUGCCACUGAAGGACGCCCGUAUUCGUGAGACGUGCGCCGCAACCA